rnacentral:rRNA from 1 species
GACGAACGCUGGCGGCGUGCUUAACACAUGCAAGUCGAGCGGUAAGGCCCUUUCGGGGGUACACGAGCGGCGAACGGGUGAGUAACACGUGGGUGACCUGCCUUUAGCUCUGGGAUAAGCCUGGGAAACUGGGUCUAAUACCGGAUAUGACUCCAUGAUGCAUGUUGUGGGGUGGAAAGCCUUGUGCGGCUGGAGAUGGGCCCGCGGCCUAUCAGCUUGUUGGUGGGGUGAUGGCCUACCAAGGCGACGACGGGUAGCCGGCCUGAGAGGGCGACCGGCCACACUGGGACUGAGACACGGCCCAGACUCCUACGGGAGGCAGCAGUGGGGAAUCUUGCGCAAUGGGCGGAAGCCUGACGCAGCAACGCCGCGUGAGGAUGACGGCCUGUGU